AACGAACGCUGGCGGCAUGCCUAACACAUGCAAGUCGAACGAGACCUUCGGGUCUAGUUGCGCACGGGUGCGUAACGCGUGGGAACCUGCCCUUAGGUUCGGAAUAACUCUCCGACAGGGGUGCUAACACCGGGUAAUGUCCUCGGACAAAAGAUUUAUCGUCUUUGGAUGGGCCCGCGUUGGUUUAACCAGUUGGUAGGGUAAAAGCCUACCACGGCGACGCUCCAUAGCUGGUCUGAGAGGAUGAGCAGCCACACUGGGACUGAGACACGGCCCAGACUCCUACGGGAGGCAGCAGUGGGUAAUAUUGGACAAUGGGCGAAAGCCUGAUCCAGCAAUGCCGCGUGAGUGAUGAAGGCCUUAGGGUUGUAAAGCUCUUUUACCCGGGAUGAUAAUGACAGUACCGGGAGAAUAAGCUCCGGCUAACUCCGUG
rnacentral:rRNA from 1 species